GGCCUUUCGGGGUACACGAGCGGCGAACGGGUGAGUAACACGUGGGUGAUCUGCCCUGCACUUCGGGAUAAGCCUGGGAAACUGGGUCUAAUACCGGAUAUGACCUCCUGUUGCAUGACUUGGGGUGGAAAGAUUUAUCGGUGCAGGAUGGGCCCGCGGCCUAUCAGCUUGUUGGUGGGGUAAUGGCCUACCAAGGCGACGACGGGUAGCCGACCUGAGAGGGUGACCGGCCACACUGGGACUGAGACACGGCCCAGACUCCUACGGGAGGCAGCAGUGGGGAAUAUUGCACAAUGGGCGAAAGCCUGAUGCAGCGACGCCGCGUGAGGGAUGACGGCCUUCGGGUUGUAAACCUCUUUCAGCAGGGACGAAGCGCAAGUGACGGUACCUGCAGAAGAAGCACCGGCUAACUACGUGCCAGCAGCCGCGGUAAUACGUAGGGUGCAAGCGUUGUCCGGAAUUACUGGGCGUAAAGAGUUCGUAGGCGGUUUGUCGCGUCGUUUGUGAAAACCACCAGCUCAACUGCUGGCUUGCAGGCGAUACGGGCAGACUUGAGUACUGCAGGGGAGACUGGAAUUCCUGGUGUAGCGGUGAAAUGCGCAGAUAUCAGGAGGAACACCGGUGGCGAAGGCGGGUCUCUGGGCAGUAACUGACGCUGAGGAACGAAAGCGUGGGUAGCGAACAGGAUUAGAUACCCUGGUAGUCCACGCCGUAAACGGUGGGCGCUAGGUGUGGGUUCCUUCCACGGAAUCCGUGCCGUAGCUAACGCAUUAAGCGCCCCGCCUGGGGAGUACGGCCGCAAGGCUAAAACUCAAA
rnacentral:rRNA from 1 species